CCGACGGGUGAGUAACACGUAUGCAAUCCACCUGUAACAGGGGAUAACCCGGAGAAAUCCGGACUAAUACCCAUAAUAUGGGCGCUCCGCAUGGAGAGUCCAUUAAAGAGAGCAAUCUUGGUUACAGACGAGCAUGCGCUCCAUUAGCCAGUUGGCGGGGUAACGGCCCACCUAGUCUUCGAUGGAUAGGGGUUCUGAGAGGAAGGUCCCCCACAUUGGAACUGAGACACGGUCCAA
rnacentral:rRNA from 1 species